rnacentral:lncRNA from 1 species
GGAUGGAUCGAGUGAUUGGAUAUGACCGUGAGGAGGAGGAUAGCAAAGGAAGGAGCUUUUGGACGCCGACACUAAUCGAUGAACUCUAAAGUAUACGACUGUUGGAGAAGAUGUCGAUCAUCUUUGGAAGUAUAGCCGAGUAUAGAAGACUACGGCAUUUUGAUGUACCGAUGAACGAUGUCCAUCUGGUUUAUGUAAAUAACAGUGUUCGGCUUUAAC